rnacentral:rRNA from 1 species
UACGUAGGGUGCGAGCGUUAAUCGGAAUUACUGGGCGUAAAGCGUGCGCAGGCGGCUUUGCAAGACAGGCGUGAAAUACCCGGGCCGUCAACCUGGGAAGUAGGCGCUUGUUGACUGCAAAGCUGGAGUGCGGCAGAGGGGGAUGGAAUUCCGCGUGUAGCAGUGAAAUGCGUAGAUAUGCGGAGGAACACCAAUGGCGAAGGCAAUCCCCUGGGCCUGCACUGACGCUCAUGCACG